rnacentral:rRNA from 1 species
CGCACAGCGAAAGGUGCUUGCACCUUUCAAGUGAGUGGCGAACGGGUGAGUAACACGUGGACAACCUGCCUCAAGGCUGGGGAUAACAUUUGGAAACAGAUGCUAAUACCGAAUAAAACUUAGUGUCGCAUGACACAAAGUUAAAAGGCGCUUCGGCGUCACCUAGAGAUGGAUCCGCGGUGCAUUAGUUAGUUGGUGGGGUAAAGGCCUACCAAGACAAUGAUGCAUAGCCGAGUUGAGAGACUGAUCGGCCACAUUGGGACUGAGACACGGCCCAAACUCCUACGGGAGGCUGCAGUAGGGAAUCUUCCACAAUGGGCGAAAGCCUGAUGGAGCAACGCCGCGUGUGUGAUGAAGGCUUUCGGGUCGUAAAGCACUGUUGUAUGGGAAGAACAGCUAGAAUAGGAAUGAUUUUAGUUUGACGGUACCAUACCAGAAAGGGACGGCUAAAUACGUGCCAGCAGCCGCGGUAAUACGUAUGUCCCGAGCGUUAUCCGGAUUUAUUGGGCGUAAAGCGAGCGCAGACGGUUUAUUAAGUCUGAUGUGAAAGCCCGGAGCUCAACUCCGGAAUGGCAUUGGAAACUGGUUAACUUGAGUGCAGUAGAGGUAAGUGGAACUCCAUGUGUAGCGGUGGAAUGCGUAGAUAUAUGGAAGAACACCAGUGGCGAAGGCGGCUUACUGGACUGCAACUGACGUUGAGGCUCGAAAGUGUGGGUAGCAAACAGGAUUAGAUACCCUGGUAGUCCCACCGUAACGAUGAACACUAGUGUUAGGAGGUUCCGCCUCUUAUGCCGAACUACCAUUAGUGUCCCCUGGGG